rnacentral:lncRNA from 1 species
AUCACCAAGUUACCUCACACAAAAAAGUUCAAAUCUUUUCAAUCACCCAACUUAAAAAGAUAAACAUACCCAUUGCCAUUCAUUAACCCAUAACAAAAAAGAUUCAAAUUCCCACCAAAAUUUCAAAUCUUUUUAACCAUCCAACUUAAAACAUGAUCACAGAACCUACCCAUUAACCCCAUAACAAAAAAGAUUCAAAUUUUCCGCGUAAAUAUAAGAUUUUUCUCUCAAAAACAGCAAAAAUUAAUAGGUAAAUUGGAUUUAAAUAAUCCCAACUUUCUCAAUUUGGCCGAUAAUAUAACUUGAGUUAUUUGUCAAUAAUAACAUGAGUUGGACUUUUGAUUAGAACGAGGAUGCGAGUUGAUUGAUGUAAAAUUUAUCUCGAAAUACUGCCCAAUGACGAAAAUGGUGCUUCGAUUCCGGUGUUUAAAGUUCCAAUUAACAAAAAUC